UAGGGCAAAACUGAUAACUGGGGCUAAGUCGUAACAAGGUAGCCGUACCGGAAGGUGCGGCUGGAACACCUCCUUUUUGGAG
rnacentral:rRNA from 1 species